rnacentral:tRNA from 1 species
AGGCCUAGGAGAAAACUCAGAACCAAAUUUGCAAUUUGGCAGUUGCUAGGCC